ensembl:lncRNA
CGCUUCGGGACUCCUCCUCAACCCUGCCCCCUGGAGGAAAAACUUGAGCAGCCACUCGUCCCGGCACCUGUCGCUGAAAAGUUAGGUUGGCGGAGCUACUUUUUUUUUUUCCGGUCAGGUCCACUCGGAGAGACCAGCCCCCACCACCGUUCCUGCUGGCCCUGGGCAGCCCAGAUCCGGUGAGGACAGAGUGGGCAGUGAGAGGAUAAGGCUGCCGUGCUCCCUAGAGGUGGCCGCACCGAAGGUGGUACAGAAGGAGUACAGCUCUAGGGUUCAAGUGGAGCCGGGGACAUGGAGGGAGGAUCCAGUAACCUUCGGAAGAAGGCAGCAGAGCGACAGCACCGGGCGGAGGUGAUGCUAGCGGGGGAACAGCUCAGCUGCCUCAAGAGAUGCAGACAGUGCUGGCUGGUCUGGGCAAGUUACUGCAGAACCCUGCUCCAAGCCAACCAAAAACCCCAGAGAUCUUCUCUGAAGAUGGUGAGCCAGUCAGAUAGAAAAUGUCAAGGUGUGAAUUGUGUGUCAAUAGCCAUAACUUGUGAGUAUCUGUGAAUGCCUUUGUGUGUGUGUGUGUGUGUGUGUGUGUGUUUUGUGUAUGUUAUGUGCUAGUAGGGGUGGAGGGGUGUUGACUGUACAUAUACAUGGGUGGAGGACUCAUGUAUUUAAAAUGAGGACAUAUUUGUUCUUUUUUUUUGUGAGAGUAGGGAAGAUUCUGAAGCCUUGGAGUGGUGAACCAACCCUUAGUAUUAUGGGACAGAUGGGGUUUCUUAAUGAGAAGGGGGGUAGAUCACUGAGACAUGGAGAAGCUGAAAGAGAUGGGGAAAAGGGUGGGUAAGGAGACUGUUACUCUGCUCUGAGGACCAUGUGAAUUACUUCAUCAGGUCCCAGGGUAAACUGAUUCAUGGCCACAGGGCUAUGCAGGGUUGUGAGACAUUGGGAAAAUGUUCUCUUUAAUCUCCAUGAUCUGAGCAAGAGUUAGUGAGACGUUUUCGUCCAUCUGUUAUACCCAUCUCCAGCCUCAUCACAAAUGGAGAAUUCCCAUCCCUUCCUGGCCCCUGUCAUACUUCAAGCAAAUUUCUGGGGCUUCAAGAAGAGUGUGAUUCAUUUUCAGAUGAACAUAGAUGUUGAAUGAAUUACUGCAUGAAUUGUAGAUUAAUCAUUAAUUAUAAUAAUUAAUUCUAAUGAAUACAAUUAAUCAAUCAUUCAUCAAGUACCAGUGUGUAUAUGCAGGGGAUACAAAGAAAAAAAUGAAACUAUCCUUGCCCUCAAGGAGUUUACAUUCCAUUAAUUAUUUGUGGCAUGGUAUUUAUCCUAGAACUUCUUGCCCAAGACUGGUACCCUCUUUGCAUUGUCAGUAGAUGAGGCCUCAAGGAUAAUAGCACCUUGCAGAAAGUAUGUUAGGAAGGCAAGUGCAACUUCAGUAUGAUGCUCCUAAUGUAUUCCACAGUCAGACAGAAAUACCUGCCAAAUUAUUCACUGUUGCAUUUUCCCUUCUGUAUAGAGAUUAUCUGAUGUUUUUUGUUAAGUAUAUACUCUUUUGGAUUAACUGUUA